GGAUGUGAGGGCCACAUCUGUCAUCCCAUUGGUGGCCAGGGCGGAUUUGGCUGAUCUGGCCGGGUGGGUGGCUGUCCCCUCCUCCCUCACAGCUGUCUGUGUAUCCCUCCCAAAGCUGCACACUUGGCCCCAGAGGACAAACUGCCCUGAUAGAGAAGUUCUUUACAGGGGUAGCUGAGCUCCCCAGAGAACCUCUAGACAAGCUCUCAAGAAACAAGGGGCUGGAGAYUGAGCUGUGCUGUCACUCCACUGCCCUCCUGGUGGGCCCCUCCUCUUUGAGGGCCCAGCA
rnacentral:snRNA from 1 species